rnacentral:rRNA from 1 species
GAUGAACGCUGGCGGCGUGCCUAAUACAUGCAAGUAGAACGCUGAAGGAGGAGCUUGCUCUUCUGGAUGAGUUGCGAACGGGUGAGUAACGCGUAGGUAACCUGCCUGGUAGCGGGGGAUAACUAUUGGAAACGAUAGCUAAUACCGCAUGACAACAGUUAUUGCAUGAUAACUGUUUAAAAGGGGCAACUGCUCCACUACCAGAUGGACCUGCGUUGUAUUACCUAGUUGGUGAGGUAACGGCUCACCAAGGCGACGAUACAUAGCCGACCUGAGAGGGUGAUCGGCCACACUGGGACUGAGACACGGCCCAGACUCCUACGGGAGGCAGCAGUAGGGAAUCUUCGGCAAUGGACGGAAGUCUGACCGAGCAACGCCGCGUGAGUGAAGAAGGUUUUCGGAUCGUAAAGCUCUGUUGUAAGAGAAGAACGAGUGUGAGAGUGGAAAGUUCACACUGUGACGGUAUCUUACCAGAAAGGGACGGCUAACUACGUG